rnacentral:lncRNA from 1 species
UAAAGAUAAGUAAUGAGAUAGUUGGUCUACAAGAUUAGUGGUUAGAGGUAGUGAUGGAGAUCAAGAUCAAGACCAAAUGGAGGCCAAUACUCAAGGACAAGAAGAGGAAGAGGCUCAAGUGUUAGACGCUCAAGAAGUUUGUAGCCCACCUCAAAGGCUUACAAGAAGUCAAUUCAAGGCAUUAGGAAAUAAUGGAAGGUUGUUUUCUCUUUUUGUAAUAUCUUGGUGUUAGAAGGUGCUUAGAGGG